GAUGAACGCUGGCGGCGUGCCUAACACAUGCAAGUCGAACGAAGCGCUUUGAAGUUUUCGGACGGAAGAGUGACUGAGUGGCGGACGGGUGAGUAACGCGUGGGUAACCUGCCUCAUACAGGGGGAUAACAGUUAGAAAUGACUGCUAAUACCACAUAAGCGCACAGCUUCGCAUGAAGCAGUGUGAAAAACUCCGGUGGUAUGAGAUGGACCCGCGUCUGAUUAGCUAGUUGGCGGGGUAACGGCCCACCAAGGUGACGAUCAGUAGCCGACCCGGGAGGGGGACCGGCCACAUUGGGACUGAUACACGGCCCAAACUCCUACGGGAGGCAGCAGUGGGGAAUAUUGCACAAUGGGCGAAAGCCUGAUGCAGCAACGCCGCGUGAGUGAAGAAGUAUUUCGGUAUGUAAAGCUCUAUCAGCAGGGAAGAAAAUGACGGUACCUGACUAAGAAGCCCCGGCUAACUACGUGCCAGCAGCCGCAGUAAAAC
rnacentral:rRNA from 1 species